rfam:Picea glauca, whole genome shotgun sequence.
ACAUGCUUACAACAUAGCGUUAAUGCACUAGAUCCCAUUAGAACUCUGUAGUUAAGCGCGCUUGGGCUAGAGUAGUACUGAGAUGGGCGACCACCCGGGAAGUCCAAGUAUUUUACAUGCC